ACGCCGUCCCGAGCGGCGUUCGCGGCCUCGAACGGGCCAUGGUGGGGGUGGUGCCGUGUCGGCGCAGCACCACCCCCUAC
rfam:Streptomyces caeruleatus strain NRRL B-24802 genomic scaffold PRJNA299234_s005, whole genome shotgun sequence.